AAGCCAACCACAGACACCACAGA
rnacentral:miRNA from 1 species